AUGAAUGUUUCACCUGUAGAGUUAGCUGAACCUAAGACUGUUAUCCUACAUCAGACUCACCUACAUACUGCUACCAGCAUUGUAGCCCCGCAGAACUGUUUUAAUCAGCCUGUAUGUUCUGAGGUUUCCCAGUCUGAGCUCAGCCACACACCACCACCACCAUCAGCUCUAGAUAUAACAGUGUAUGCUGUGGAGCACAAACCAUCCGAGACUGAGUGUUCUAUAGCUGAUGCUCCUUCAAAUGACUGUUUCAUGUUCCAGCCCGUUUUGUCUUUAGACAUUUCUGAUAUUUCUCAGCCAACUUCUCAACCAGCCACUGCUCUCUCAGCUCCUCAAAGAGUUACUGUGAAUGAGGCCUGUGUUGCUGAGCAAGCCAAUUUACCGUGUACUCCUAGCGUUCUGCCUGAGCCAGGUGACACAGAGACUAUUAGCCAUUCCUCUGCUAUGAACAGUUUAAUCUUUAAACCAGCUCUUGUAUCUGUGACUCCCAGUGUUGCUCCGUCAGUUUCUCAGGCUCUGGUUUUUCCUGUGCCACAACUCGAAAGUGCUAACUCGGACACUACCUGUGUAACCUCGCCUUCUCCCGUGCCUGCUAAGCAUGAGACUGUUUCUGUUUUUCCUUGUGGACUCCUUGAAACUGUGUAUUCCAUGCCUGUUAAGGUUAAGAGCCGUAAGGUUUUGUCUGCUAUACAUACACUGGCAAAAGAAUUUGGUUUGAGCACUGCAGAGCUGGUUGCACAGGUUAACUUUUCUGUUCCCCGGUCAUGUCAGUUUAACUCUGUGCGCCAUGCUUUUCGGCCAAGUUUCAUGGACUCUGUGUGUACUACGUCUCGAGCUACAUCCUGUACAACUGUGUGUAGAGUUGCUUCACACCCAGGUUAUCCAGACACUACUUGUGUGAAUUCCCCAGUACCUGUGACUGCUCCUAAACUCACUCUUCCUAAGACUGCUAAUUAUGACAUGGACAACUUAAGUACAGCAGAGUUGCUUGAACCAGCCCACCAUAAGUCGCGGUUUGCUGAAACUGUGUUCGGCACCAUCAACCUAGUUUACCCUGUGUCAGUUGCUGUUCCUGUGCUUCGCUCUCCACCUCCGGUUCCUGUACCCAGGGCAGCGCGGGCCCAGCUUCCCCUUGCACCCGUAUCAGUUCCUCGGGUGAGGAUGGCUGAGGUCCAGCUGGUCCCUGCAUCUGUCUCCAGCUUGGCAGAGGCUCCAUUCAUCCCGGCACCCGUACCUGCUCAUCGGGUGGGGUUGAUGGACACCCAGCCAUUGCCUGCACCUGUUCCGGCUCCCCGGGUGAGGUCAGCUGUGACCCUGCCGACUCCUGCACCCGUCUCAGUUCCUCGGGUGGGAGCAGCAGAGGUCCAGCUAGCUCCUGCACCUACGCCGGCCCCCAGGGUUAAGGCUGCAAGAGCCCAGUUCGUCCCUGCACCCGUAUCUGUUCCUCGGGUGGGGAUGGCUGGUGUUCGGCCAGGCCCUGCACCCGUUCCUGUUCCCCGGAGGAGAGCAGCCAAGAGUCAGACACCUGCUCAGUCACCGGUUCAACUACCUGCUGUUCCACCAACAUUACAGCCAUUGUCACAACCACCACUACAACUCGUACAACUCGCACUUUUGUCCAUAGCGCAGUCAUUAUCUCAGUUAUUAGCCCAGUUUCCUGUUCUGUCACCAGUUCAGUUGCUAGCUCAGUCACCAGCCCUGUUAAAAGCUCAGCAGCCCAUUCAGUCACCACCAACCUCAACUGGAAGCCUUUGUGAGCUUACUCAGCCAGCUGAGGACUGCGUGGUGCUGACACAUCUUGGACAGACUGUUUGCCCCGCACAGCCCCAGCCGUUGCAUCCCAAGCCGACUGCGUGCCCUGUGCAGCUACAGUUAGCGUCCGCUGAGCCAGAGGUCUCCACACCUGCUGGCUCUGCAUCUCUUCUCGCUGGCGGUUCAGGAGAACCGCUCCAGCCAUCCCUCGUUUCCGCUGGGGGUUCAGGAGAACCGCUCCAGCCAUCCCUCGUUUCCGCUGGGGGCUCUGGUGAGCCCGGCCAGCACUUCCUCGUCUCCGCUGGCGGCUCUGGUGAGCCCGGCCAGCAUCUCCUCGUCUCCGCUGGCGGCUCUGGUCAGCCCGGCCAGCACCUCCUCGUCUCCGCUGGAGGGUCCAAGUCACCUCCGCCUGGUCCAGCUCCGGCUUCUGCUCCUGCUCCGCCUACGCCGUCGUCUGGUCCAGCUUCGGCUUCUGCUCCGCCUGGUCCAGCUCCGGCUUCUGCUUCUGCUCCGCCUACGCCGUCGCCUGGUCCAGCCUCUGCUUCAGCUUCACCCUCGUCUGGUCCUGUGCCCACCAAGCCUCGACCAGUACGCCUGAUGCUUGAGAGCCGCCGCCGUCUUCCACGCGGCCGGCCUCCGGACCCGCUCUGCUGCCGCCGCCGUCUUCCAUGCGGCCGGCCUCCGGACCCGCUCUGCUGCCGCCGCCGUCUUCCACGCGGCCGGCCUCCGGACCCGCUCUGCUGCCGCCGCCGUCUUCCACGCAGCCGGCCUCCGGACCCGUUCUGCUGCCACUUCUCACGUGGCCGGCCCCCGGAACAGCCGGACUAUGAACUUUUGUGCUGUCGCCCCUCGGGUCGACCUUCUGCUCUCCAUGGACGCUGUUUCCCUGGACUCCAGCAUCUUCUGUUUUGGACUAUUUUUGUUUGUUUCGGGGCUCGGUUUUGGUCUCAUGCUCCUUGUGUUUGGUUUGGUUUCGGUCCCUCCGUCCUGGUCCCCCGCCUCCCGCCCUGGUUGGGUUGUUUUCCGUUUUCUUGUCUUUUGGUUCUCGGGUUUGGGCUGCCUGGAGUCAGCCCUUAA
ensembl:lncRNA